rnacentral:sRNA from 1 species
AUCUUGUUAGAUUCAGUGUGCACUAAAACUAGGUAAGAGGGGUAGUCAGGACUUUCCUAACAUCUACAAAUCUCUUACCUUCCAAGAUACAGCGUGGUACCCACCCAGCAAUACAUGAUAUCUUGGCUCUGAGAGAGUGUUUCUCUAACCAUCCUCUGGGCAUGAACCAACUCCAGGCUUUGCACGUGAAAGCCUUGAGCCGGGCCAUGCUUCUCACAUCUUACCUGCCUCCUCCCUUGUUGAGACAUCGUUUGAAGACUCAUACAACUGUGAUUCACCAACUGGACAAGGCUUUGGCAAAGCUGGGGAUUGGCCAGCUGACUGCUCAGGAAGUAAAAUCGAAGCUGAGCUGUCUCUCUUGCUGCACAACGUGGUCCUGCUCUCCACCAACUACCUUGGGACAAGGCGCUGAAUGAACCGUGGAGCGGAUGGCAUUGUCCUGCAGUUGCAUAAUAUAGCAGUGCAGGAACAGACAGCACUUGCCAGCAAAGUCUGUGUGUACUGUUAAGUGUGUGGGAGGCGGAGAGAGGAGCAGGGGCCAUGGGCUUCACAGCAUGGCACACAUGUGGGAACUGCAGACAUUCCCCUCACAGCUAGAACUGAAACAAACCCUCUUGCCAGGGGUGGCCCGUGUGAGAUGUCAUCCUGUCCCCCUCAUAAUUAAUAAUAGCUGGAACUGGCAGCAGCCUCUACUGGGCUUUUACUGUGAUGUGUUCAGUUCAUGUCCUAGGAAGUCAGCUUUUGCCCCAGGUGGGAAUCCUUAUUUGGCUUAGGACUGAUCCACUUCCAUGUUACUUACAUCUGUGGG